rnacentral:rRNA from 1 species
UGGGGAAUAUUGCACAAUGGGCGCAAGCCUGAUGCAGCCAUGCCGCGUGUAUGAAGAAGGCCUUCGGGUUGUAAAGCACUUUCAGCGGGGAGGAAGGCGUUAAGGUUAAUAACCUUGGCGAUUGACGUUACCCGCAGAAGAAGCACCGGCUAACUCCGUGCCAGCAGCCGCGGUAAUACGGAGGGUGCAAGCGUUAAUCGGAAUUACUGGGCGUAAAGCGCACGCAGGCGGUCUGUCAAGUCGGAUGUGAAAUCCCCGGGCUCAACCUGGGAACUGCAUUCGAAACUGGCAGGCUAGAGUCUUGUAGAGGGGGGUAGAAUUCCAUGUGUAGCGGGGAAAUGCGUAGAGAUCUGGAGGAAUACCGGUGGCGAAGGCGGCCCCCUGGACAAAGACUGACGCUCAGGUGCGAAAGCGUGGGGAGCAAACAGG